rnacentral:rRNA from 1 species
UGGGGAAUUUUGGACAAUGGGGGCAACCCUGAUCCAGCCAUUCCGCGUGAGUGAAGAAGGCCUUCGGGUUGUAAAGCUCUUUCAGCAGGAACGAAACGGCAGGCUUUAAUACGGUCUGCUAAUGACGGUACCUGCAGAAGAAGCACCGGCUAACUACGUGCCAGCAGCCGCGGUAAUACGUAGGGUGCGAGCGUUAAUCGGAAUUACUGGGCGUAAAGCGUGCGCAGGCGGCGACAUAAGACAGAUGUGAAAUCCCCGGGCUCAACCUGGGAAUGCCAUUCAAAACUGUUCAUCUAGAGUAUGGUAGAGGGAAGUGGAAUUUCAGGUGUAGGGGUGAAAUCCGUUGAUAUCGUGGGGAACACCAAAGGCGAAGGCAGCGCACUGGCCAAAAUCUGACGCUCACACACGAAAGCUAGGGUAGCGAAGAGGAUUAGAUACCCCUGUAGUCCCUGAGCGGGCUGGCAAGGCGCAU